GACGGGGGGUCCUAGCGUUGUUCGGAAUCAUUGGGCGUAAAGCGUGUGCAGGUGGUUUUGUAAGUUAGAUGUGAAAUCCUUGGGCUUAACCCAAGAAGUGCAUUUAAAACUGCUAAACUUGAGUAAGGAAGAGGGUCGUGGAAUUCCUGGUGUAGUGGUGAAAUACGUAGAUAUCGGGAGGAACACCAGUGGCGAAGGCGACUACCUGGCCCAUUCUUGACGCUGAGGCGCGAAAGCUAGGGGAGCGAACGGG
rnacentral:rRNA from 1 species